rnacentral:tRNA from 1 species
AUUUAAAUAGCUUAUAGAUUAAAGCAUAAUAUUGAAGAUAUUAAGAAAAUUUAUUGAUUUUUAAAUA